AUCACUUUUGGCCUUUUGGCUAAGAUCGUGUGUGGGUUCUUAUCAGCUUAAUUUCAGAUAUACCCUCUAGCUGAGGACGAUAUAGUAAAUGAAUUUGGGGAGCAGGAAGAUGGAAGAGGAACUUGCUCUGUCCACUCCACACAUCAACCUAGUAUUGCAGUACCUCUAGUAAUGGUGCCCUACUC
ensembl:snRNA U2 U2 spliceosomal RNA